CCUACGGGAGGCAGCAGUGGGGAAUUUUGGACAAUGGGGGCAACCCUGAUCCAGCCAUGCCGCGUGAGUGAAGAAGGCCUUCGGGUUGUAAAGCUCUUUCGGCUGGGAAGAAAUCGCACAGGCUAAUACUCUGUGUGGAUGACGGUACCAGCAUAAGAAGCACCGGCUAACUACGUGCCAGCAGCCGCGGUAAUACGUAGGGUGCGAGCGUUAAUCGGAAUUACUGGGCGUAAAGCGUGCGCAGGCGGUUGUGCAAGACAGAUGUGAAAUCCCCGGGCUCAACCUGGGAACUGCAUUUGUGACUGCACGACUAGAGUACGGCAGAGGGGGGUAGAGUUCCACGUGUAGCAGUGAAAUGCGUAGAGAUGUGGAGGAAUACCGAUGGCGAAGGCAGCCCCCUGGGUCGAUACUGACGCUCAUGCACGAAAGCGUGGGGAGCAAACAGGAUUAGAUACCCUGGUAGUCCACGCCCUAAACGAUGUCAACUAGUUGUUGGUAGGGUUAAACCUAUUAGUAACGUAGCUAACGCGUGAAGUUGACCGCCUGGGGAGUACGGUCGCAAGAUUAAAACUCAAAGGAAUUGACGG
rnacentral:rRNA from 1 species